GGGUGCGAUCAUACCAGCACUAAUGCACCGGAUUCCAUCAGAACUCCGAAGUUAAGCGUGCUUGGACGAUGUAUAAUAGUUUUGCACAUA
rfam:Cephalotus follicularis DNA, scaffold: scaffold3375, isolate: St1.